CGCGUGGGAACGUGCCCAAAGGUUCGGAACAACUGAGGGAAACUUCAGCUAAUACCGGAUGUGCCCGAGAGGGGAAAGAUUCAUCGCCUUUGGAGCGGCCCGCGUCUGAUUAGCUAGUUGGUGGGGUAAAGGCCCACCAAGGCUUCGAUCAGUAGCUGGUCUGAGAGGAUGGCCAGCCACACUGGGACUGAGACACGGCCCAGACUCCUACGGGAGGCAGCAGUGGGGAAUCUUGCGCAAUGGGCGAAAGCCUGACGCAGCCAUGCCGCGUGGAUGAUGAAGGUCUUAGGAUUGUAAAAU
rnacentral:rRNA from 1 species